GUCCCCAUCCUCAGAAUAAGACAGCACAUGUACUAAAAUGUGAAUGAUACAGAAAUUAGCAGGGUCCCCCGCAAGAAUGAUAUGCAAAUUUGUGAAGUGUUUCAUAUUUUU
ensembl:snRNA U6 U6 spliceosomal RNA